UAAAAAACUUUCCCGUGACCGUUUCACCCAAUAGUUGGGGGUCUUAUUUGGCGGCGGCUGCUGGCUUAAUUGUUGGCGGCUGCUGCUGAGUGAGCCCUAUCAAAAAAAAGGCGAACGUUUGGGCUUCGGCCUGAUUUAGUAGUCUUUUUUUCUUUUAAACCCAUUCCUUAAUACUGAAUAUACUGUGGGGACGAAAGUCUCUGCUUUUAACUAGAUAGCAACUUUCAGCAGUGGAUGUCUAGGCUCGCACAUCGAUGAAGAACGCUGCGAACUGCGAUACGUAAUGCGAAUUGCAGGAUUCAGUGAGUCAUCGAAAUUUUGAACGCAUAUUGCACUUCCGGGUUAGUCCUGGAAGUAUGCCUGUAUCAGUGUCCGUACAUUAAACUUGACUUUCUUCCUUCCGUGUAGUCGGUGGAGGAGAUGUCAGAUGUGAAGUGUCUUGCGAUUGGUCUUCGGACCGGCUGCGAGUCCUUUUAAAUGUACUAAACUGAACUUCUCUUUGCUCGAAAAGUGGUGGCGUUGCUGGUUGUGAAGGCUGCUAUUGUGGCAAAUUGGCGACUGGUUUGUCUGCUGCGGCGUUAAUGGAAGAGUGUUCGAUUCGUGGUAUGGUUGGCUUCGGCUGAACAAUGCACUUAUUGGACGUUUUUCCUGCUGUGGCGUGAUGGACUGGUGAACCAUAGCUCGGUGGCUUGGCUUUUGAAUUGGCUUUGCUGUUGCGAAGUAGGGUGGCAGCUUCGGUUGUCGAGGGUCGAUCCAUUUGGGAACUUAAUGUGUACUUCGGUAUGCAUCUCAAUGGACCUGAUAUCAGGCAAGUA
rnacentral:rRNA from 1 species